GACGAACGCUGGCGGCGUGCUUAACACAUGCAAGUCGAGGGCAUGCCGCAAGGCAUGACCGGCGAACGGGUGCGUAACACGUGAGCGACCUUCCGUCUUCUGGGGGAUAGCCGGCCCAACGGCCGGGUAAUACCGCAUACGCUGUGUGGGGGGCAUCCCUUGCGCAGGAAACUUCCGGGGGAGGACGAGGGGCUCGCGGCCUAUCAGCUAGGUUGGGGGG
rnacentral:rRNA from 1 species